rnacentral:rRNA from 1 species
GAUGAACGCUGGCGGCGUGCUUAACACAUGCAAGUCGAACGGGAUCCAUCAGGCUUUGCUUGGUGGUGAGAGUGGCGAACGGGUGAGUAAUGCGUGACCGACCUGCCCCAUACACCGGAAUAGCUCCUGGAAACGGGUGGUAAUGCCGGAUGCUCCAGUUGAUCGCAUGGUCUUCUGGGAAAGCUUUCGCGGUAUGGGAUGGGGUCGCGUCCUAUCAGCUUGACGGCGGGGUAACGGCCCACCGUGGCUUCGACGGGUAGCCGGCCUGAGAGGGCGACCGGCCACAUUGGGACUGAGAUACGGCCCAGACUCCUACGGGAGGCAGCAGUGGGGAAUAUUGCACAAUGGGCGCAAGCCUGAUGCAGCGACGCCGCGUGAGGGAUGGAGGCCUUCGGGUUGUAAACCUCUUUUAUCGGGGAGCAAGCGAGAGUGAGUUUACCCGUUGAAUAAGCACC